AUUGAACGCUGGCGGCAGGCCUAACACAUGCAAGUCGAGCGGUUGAGAGUAGCUUGCUACUUGAUGCAGCGGCGGACGGGUGAGUAACGCGUGGGAAUCUGCCCAGUAGUGGGGGACAACAGCCGGAAACGGCUGCUAAUACCGCAUACGCCCUACGGGGGAAAGGGGGGGAUCUUCGGACCUCUCGCUAUCGGAUGAGCCCGCGUCGGAUUAGCUAGGUGGUUGGGUAAAGGCCUACCAAGGCUACGAUCCGUAACUGGGCUGAGAGGAUGAUCAGUCACACUGGAACUGAGACACGGUCCAGACUCCUACGGGAGGCAGCAGUGGGGAAUAUUGGACAAUGGGCGGAAGCCUGAACCAGCCAUGCCGCGUGUGUGAAGAAGGCCUUAUGGUCGUAAAGCACUUUAAGCGAGGAGGAGGCUACUUUAGUUAAUACCUAGAGAUAGUGGACGUUACUCGCAGAAUAAGCACCGGCUAACUCUGUGCCAGCCGCCGCAGUAACAC
rnacentral:rRNA from 1 species